AGCGUACACGGUGGAUGCCCUGGCAGUCAGAGGCGAUGAAGGACGUGCUAAUCUGCGAUAAGCGUCGGUAAGGUGAUAUGAACCGUUAUAACCGGCGAUUUCCGAAUGGGGAAACCCAGUGUGAUUCGUCACACUAUCAUUAACUGAAUCCAUAGGUUAAUGAGGCGAACCGGGGGAACUGAAACAUCUAAGUACCCCGAGGAAAAGAAAUCAACCGAGAUUCCCCCAGUAGCGGCGAGCGAACGGGGAGCAGCCCAGAGCCUGAAUCAGUGUGUGUGUUAGUGGAAGCGUCUGGAAAGGCGCGCGAUACAGGGUGACAGCCCCGUACACAAAAAUGCACAUACUGUGAGCUCGAUGAGUAGGGCGGGACACGUGGUAUCCUGUCUGAAUAUGGGGGGACCAUCCUCCAAGGCUAAAUACUCCUGACUGACCGAUAGUGAACCAGUACCGUGAGGGAAAGGCGAAAAGAACCCCGGCGAGGGGAGUGAAAAAGAACCUGAAACCGUGUACGUACAAGCAGUGGGAGCACGCUUCGGCGUGUGACUGCGUACCUUUUGUAUAAUGGGUCAGCGACUUAUAUUCUGUAGCAAGGUUAACCGAAUAGGGGAGCCGAAGGGAAACCGAGUCUUAACUGGGCGUUAAGUUGCAGGGUAUAGACCCGAAACCCGGUGAUCUAGCCAUGGGCAGGUUGAAGGUUGGGUAACACUAACUGGAGGACCGAACCGACUAAUGUUGAAAAAUUAGCGGAUGACUUGUGGCUGGGGGUGAAAGGCCAAUCAAACCGGGAGAUAGCUGGUUCUCCCCGAAAGCUAUUUAGGUAGCGCCUCGUGAAUUCAUCUCCGGGGGUAGAGCACUGUUUCGGCAAGGGGGUCAUCCCGACUUACCAACCCGAUGCAAACUGCGAAUACCGGAGAAUGUUAUCACGGGAGACACACGGCGGGUGCUAACGUCCGUCGUGAAGAGGGAAACAACCCAGACCGCCAGCUAAGGUCCCAAAGUCAUGGUUAAGUGGGAAACGAUGUGGGAAGGCCCAGACAGCCAGGAUGUUGGCUUAGAAGCAGCCAUCAUUUAAAGAAAGCGUAAUAGCUCACUGGUCGAGUCGGCCUGCGCGGAAGAUGUAACGGGGCUAAACCAUGCACCGAAGCUGCGGCAGCGACACUAUGUGUUGUUGGGUAGGGGAGCGUUCUGUAAGCCUGUGAAGGUGUGCUGUGAGGCAUGCUGGAGGUAUCAGAAGUGCGAAUGCUGACAUAAGUAACGAUAAAGCGGGUGAAAAGCCCGCUCGCCGGAAGACCAAGGGUUCCUGUCCAACGUUAAUCGGGGCAGGGUGAGUCGACCCCUAAGGCGAGGCCGAAAGGCGUAGUCGAUGGGAAACAGGUUAAUAUUCCUGUACUUGGUGUUACUGCGAAGGGGGGACGGAGAAGGCUAUGUUGGCCGGGCGACGGUUGUCCCGGUUUAAGCGUGUAGGCUGGUUUUCCAGGCAAAUCCGGAAAAUCAAGGCUGAGGCGUGAUGACGAGGCACUACGGUGCUGAAGCAACAAAUGCCCUGCUUCCAGGAAAAGCCUCUAAGCAUCAGGUAACAUCAAAUCGUACCCCAAACCGACACAGGUGGUCAGGUAGAGAAUACCAAGGCGCUUGAGAGAACUCGGGUGAAGGAACUAGGCAAAAUGGUGCCGUAACUUCGGGAGAAGGCACGCUGAUAUGUAGGUGAAGCGACUUGCUCGUGGAGCUGAAAUCAGUCGAAGAUACCAGCUGGCUGCAACUGUUUAUUAAAAACACAGCACUGUGCAAACACGAAAGUGGACGUAUACGGUGUGACGCCUGCCCGGUGCCGGAAGGUUAAUUGAUGGGGUUAGCGGUAACGCGAAGCUCUUGAUCGAAGCCCCGGUAAACGGCGGCCGUAACUAUAACGGUCCUAAGGUAGCGAAAUUCCUUGUCGGGUAAGUUCCGACCUGCACGAAUGGCGUAAUGAUGGCCAGGCUGUCUCCACCCGAGACUCAGUGAAAUUGAACUCGCUGUGAAGAUGCAGUGUACCCGCGGCAAGACGGAAAGACCCCGUGAACCUUUACUAUAGCUUGACACUGAACAUUGAGCCUUGAUGUGUAGGAUAGGUGGGAGGCUUUGAAGUGUGGACGCCAGUCUGCAUGGAGCCGUCCUUGAAAUACCACCCUUUAAUGGCUGGUGUUCUAACGUAGACCCGUGAUCCGGGUUGCGGACAGUGUCUGGUGGGUAGUUUGACUGGGGCGGUCUCCUCCCAAAGAGUAACGGAGGAGCACGAAGGUUAGCUAAUCCUGGUCGGACAUCAGGAGGUUAGUGCAAUGGCAUAAGCUAGCUUGACUGCGAGCGUGACGGCGCGAGCAGGUGCGAAAGCAGGUCAUAGUGAUCCGGUGGUUCUGAAUGGAAGGGCCAUCGCUCAACGGAUAAAAGGUACUCCGGGGAUAACAGGCUGAUACCGCCCAAGAGUUCAUAUCGACGGCGGUGUUUGGCACCUCGAUGUCGGCUCAUCACAUCCUGGGGCUGAAGUAGGUCCCAAGGGUAUGGCUGUUCGCCAUUUAAAGUGGUACGCGAGCUGGGUUUAGAACGUCGUGAGACAGUUCGGUCCCUAUCUGCCGUGGGCGCUGGAGAACUGAGGGGGGCUGCUCCUAGUACGAGAGGACCGGAGUGGACGCAUCACUGGUGUUCGGGUUGUCAUGCCAAUGGCACUGCCCGGUAGCUAAAUGCGGAAGAGAUAAGUGCUGAAAGCAUCUAAGCACGAAACUUGCCCCGAGAUGAGUUCU
rnacentral:rRNA from 1 species